rnacentral:rRNA from 1 species
UACGUAGGGUGCAAGCGUUAAUCGGAAUUACUGGGCGUAAAGCGUGCGCAGGCGGUUAUGCAAGACAGAUGUGAAAUCCCCGGGCUUAACCUGGGAACCGCAUUUGUGACUGCAUAGCUGGAGUACGGCAGAGGGGGAUGGAAUUCCGCGUGUAGCAGUGAAAUGCGUAGAUAUGCGGAGGAACACCGAUGGCGAAGGCAGUCCCCUGGGCCUGUACUGACGCUCAUGCACGAAAGCGUGGGGAGC